rnacentral:rRNA from 1 species
GACGGAGGGGGCUAGCGUUGUUCGGAAUUACUGGGCGUAAAGGGCGCGUAGGUGGUUUAGUAAGUUGGAAGUGAAAUCCCGGAGCUUAACUUCGGAAUGUCUUUCAAAACUGCUAGGCUAGAGUGUAGUAGGGGAUGAUGGAAUUCCUAGUGUAGAGGUGAAAUUCUUAGAUAUUAGGAGGAACACCAGGGGCGAAGGCGAUCAUCUGGGCUAUAACUGACACUAAAGCGCGAAAGCGUGGGGAGCAAACAGG